rnacentral:tRNA from 1 species
UGGGAGAUCGUCUAAUGGUAGGACAACGGACUCUGACUCCGUUUAUCUAGGUUCGAAUCCUAGUCUCCCAG